GAAGGGCACCACCAGGAGUGGGGCCUGCGGCUCAAUUUGACUCAACACGGCGAAUCUCACCAGGCCAGGACACCCGAAGGAUUGACAGAUUGAGAGCUCUUUCUUGAUUUGGUGGAUGGUGGUGCAUGGCCGUUCAUAGUUGGUGGAUCGAUUUGUCUGCUUAAUUGCGAUAACGAACGAGAUUUUAGCCUGCUAACUAGUCGAUACCGGCAUCCCUGGAGCAGCCGGCGACUACAAUCUUCUUAGAGGGACGGGCGGCUUCUAGCCGCACGAGACGAAGCAAUAACAGGUCUGUGAUGCCCUUAGAUGCUCUGGGCCGCACGCGCGCCACACUGAAGGGAGCAGCGUGUGUUUUCCUUGCCCGAGAGGGCCGGGUAACCCGCUGAACCCCCUUCGUGAUAGGGAUUGGGGCCUGAAAUUUCUCCCCACUAACGAGGAAUUCCCAGUAAGCGUGAGUCAUCAACUCGCGUUGAUUAAGUCCCUGCCCUUUGUACACACCGCCCGUCGCUACUACUGAUUGGAUGAUUUAGUGAGGUCUUCGGACCAGAGCGCGGCGUCCUCGCGGUCGCCGAUGCUCCGGAAAGAUGACCGAACUUGCUCAUUUANAAGAAGUAAAAGUCGUAACAAGGUUGCC
rnacentral:rRNA from 1 species